rnacentral:rRNA from 1 species
GUGCCAGCCGCCGCGGUAAUACGAAGGGGGCUAGCGUUGCUCGGAAUUACUGGGCGUAAAGGGAGCGUAGGCGGGUUAUCAAGUUGGAGGUGAAAGCCCAGGGCUCAACCUUGGAAUUGCCUUCAAAACUGAUAGCCUAGAGUAUGAUAGAGGUAAGUGGAACUCCGAGUGUAGAGGUGAAAUUCGUAGAUAUUCGGAAGAACACCAGUGGCGAAGGCGACUUACUGGAUCAUGACUGACGCUGAGGCUCGAAAGCGUGGGGAGCAAACAGGAUUAGAUACCCCAGUAGUCC